CACGCCUACCACCACCACCGCCCGCCCACCCGGACCACAAGCCGCAGCCCCCCAACCGGCAUGGCACGCCACGGGACCCCCAGCGGCCCACCAAGCCCAGGGCAGGGCAGGGUCCCCGCCGGUGGAGGCAACACCCACCCGAUACACCGGCGCCCAGCCAGCGACCCGCGACGGAGCACAGGGCGGAUAUCCAGUCAGAGAAGAGAGGGGAAGGCGGGGAGGCAGAAGAACGCCGAGGAACCGCCACGGGGCGACGCAAGAUCGGAGCCCCGACCUUCCCCCCCACUCCCACGGCUGGCAGCCCAGGCAGAGGGGAGGCCACGCCAUAGGGAAAAAGUUUGUGACCCACCUACCACCCUAUAACUGUGGCUGCCAGGUUCCCGGCUGGCAGCCAUCACCCAGCACUGUGAUGGGAUUGUGAGGGGAGGGUAGUGCAAUGCAUGAAUGUGUCUUCCAUUAAUAAUAAGUUAUUACUACUCGAAUGCAAGGCAAGGAGUAUGUCAGUUUCAUGCAGUUAAGAUGCGUGCUUAACUCAUUGGCCGCCAUUGACGUACAAUCGCUGUCGGGUCUCUCAAUCAAAAUGGAUUGGACGUCUAUCGCCUUCAGUGGCACUGAAACAUUGUCAUUCACUGCCAACCAUCCCAGUUCAAGUGGAUUUGACAUUCAUCACCGGCAUUGGCAGCCAAUGAGGGAAAACUUUCAUUUUUAUAUUUAAACUAGGUUUCCACAGUAUUUUAUAAGCCAGGCGGGCCAGCAGGUUUUUCUUGCCAAAUGACACAUUUUAACCUGAGGCUAAUAUCGCAAAAUACAGCAAAACUAGUGUCAUUUUCCCAAUUUAUUGUACUGUAUAGGAGUGGGAACCUCUUGGUUACGAUACGAUAGUUUGCGAUACAAAGCUCACGAUAACGAUGAUCUGACGAUAUGGCGAAAUGAUUAUUGAUACUUUGGUCAGGAAAUCAUUCUAGGAUAUUCUACAAACAACUAAUAAACAGAAAAACAAGCUUCUACUGAAUUGGAAUGUGUUCAAUCACCAGUAGACAUCCAAUCCAUCUGAACUGGGAGGGUGGCAGCUAAUAAACGUCUAUGGCCGUCAGUGGCAGCCAAUGCCAGGCAAUGAGGUAAUUUUGGGCCAUUUAAGUUCAUUUACCUGUAGAUUUUCAGUUACUUCCUGUUGAUCUUGGGGUAUUUUAUGGGUCACUUCCUGUUUGUGUUACAGAACAGGAAGUGACCUGGGAAUCACCCAAAUGAAUAGGCAGUGACUCACAAUUUAAAAGGAAAUGACCUGGAAAUGCCCUAAGAUUAACAGCAAGUGACCUGUAAAUGCCCUGAAAAUCAGAAUGACUGUGAAAGCUCUGGUUUCAAAUGAACGUACGCUCCCAGUCUAAAUGGAUUGGGCGUUGAGCACAGUCAAUGCAGCCUUAGAGUUAAGAGAGACACUAUUAUUGUUGUGAAUUCCCUGCUGUGAGGGCUGGACAACGAGCUGCCUCGCUUUGGGACAAUUGUGUUGCUGCGCAUGCGCAUAGUAUUCUCAAAAGGACCGCGGUUGAGGGAAGAAAGUUCGUCCUCGGCCGAGUAUUAAUGUGCCUGCAUUCGCAUAAAUAACCGUGUGCGUCGGUGAUAAGUAAGUUGUAAUGUUCGCCAUGUAUACUGAAGUCAUAUAUGUGAUGCUUGUGUUACUAGUUUAUAUUGUUGUUUGUAGCUUGUAGCACGUUAGCUCCGCUGGUAGCACCCCGCUGCUAACGUAGCAUUCUAAUUCUCACGUUGCGCCAGCGCGUGGUAAUAUAUGUACAAAGUUGGACUGAAUUGGAUCGCUAGGUGUGCAUUACGAAUUAAAUGCCAUUCAAUGUUCAUAUUUGAAAUCGCUGUCCAUUGCGGUCUUUGGUGACCGAUUCAUUUAGCUACCGAGUGCAUAGCCUGCUAUAACAGCUCUCUUGUUUGUAGGACUGGUCAUUUAUUAUCGAUGGUUCAUUGCUUGUCCAAUGCGGACAUCUAGUGGUCAUUUUGGUGUAACGCCUAGUUUAUUUCCGCUGGAAUUCAUUCAAUUCAUUGUAUUGUGAACUUUACAGGUUUAUUUCACCAUUAUAAGUUUAUUGAUGUUUUUCUUAAUAUAUUUCUUUCAGAUACACAAACCACACACUCACAUUAAUGUCCAGAUGCAAUCAAAGGCACAAUGGAUGCAAACAACUGUAAAUAAAGUUCAUCAAACCAAUAGAAGUUGCUGCAUCUUCUCUUACCGGAGGAUUAGGUCAAUUAUAUACAGCCGGCACAUUUGUCACCGAACUCCAAUUCCUUACAAGUGGUCCUUCGAGCCCGGAUCCUGUUUAUAAUUGCACUAUGGCAACUUCUAGCAACUAUGGAGAAGAACAACCUGCAGUUGUAUCUCGUCCAAUUCGGCCUCAUCAACUUCCCAGACACCUACACGACUUUGUAAUAGACAGCCCAUCCUAUCUGACCCGACGAGAGUCACCCCAGGUAAUGGAGGUUGAACAAGAGGAAUUUGCAGAAGAUGCUUCGCUGAUUGGGACAGAAGCAUUGAGGCUGGAAGGGAUGGAAGCACGUAUGAGAGACAUCGCUCGGCAAAUGAGACAGCUACAGUCAGCCAUGGACAGUGUCAAAGGUCAAACUCACCCUCCACGAAAUCAGUUCGACUCAUCAUAUCCUCGUCGGAUUUCUAGCCUUCCUCACAUUAAUGGGACCACCAGAACAUCCCCACUUAUGGAUAAUCAGAUGAGUUCGACAUCAGCUGAUGGAGGACAUCGUCAUCUACUAGACAACUACGAGCUUGGCCCGCCGACAACACAGUCCACACAUCAGCAAGAAAUCAGCUCAACGACUAAAACUGUCCGAGCUCUGCAGCCAUCAGUUCAGGUAGCAGCACCUACGCUGGAUCUCGGUGAUCUCACUCGUCAUUCAGCUGCUCUAACCGGAUCAAGGCCGGAGUCUUCACAGCCAUAUUUAACGCAGUCUACUCAUCACACCCCACUUCCUCAGAGAGUAUUAACACCACCUCUACCCGUAAUGCAUACUGACCAGCAUGUUCAGCCAAUUCAUCACCCAGCUCAACCAAUAAUAAACCGGCCUGUAGCUCCACUAACAAGGCCACCUACUCUGUAUACUGCUCAGCCUGCAUCUCCGCAGCCUCAAGGCACACUACAGCCAUUUACCCAACAGCCGAAUUAUCCUCAACACGUCCAGCAGCAGAUAACUUACUCACCUGGGCCGCAAUUAGGAUUCCAACCUCCUCCAAGACAAGUCUUCAGCACCAUUCCUCAGCAUCAGCCAGCGACUGAUCCAGCAUCUUAUUCAUUUCCACAAGCUGGAUAUCCCCCUGCUGGUCAACCACAGUUAUACCAGCCUGCCUCUCAACCAGCUGCCUAUUAUUACCCACAGGUUGCGCCCUCUGCUGCUCAACCUACUACAGCUGCAAAUAAUUCCCCCUACAACAAUCCUGCAACACUCAGCAUGACAGAAAUGGCUAUUGCAGCUUCAUACGGUAUUCCUAAACCCAAGCUGCCAUUUUUCAGUUCCGGACGGGAGAGUGACUUUAUUAUGCUGAAAAAAGGGCUGGAUAGCUUACUUAGUCCACAUAGACACCUAACUGAAGACUAUAAAUAUCAAGUUUUACUUGAUCACCUCAAACUGCCUAGUGCGUAUCAAAUAGCAAAGAGGUACAUCCAUGAUCCUACACCGUACAGUAGUGCAAUGGACGCUCUACAGCAACGUUAUGGGCAGCCAAGACAGUUGAUCCAGGGAGAACUAAAAGCCAUAUUGAACUCCCCACCGGUGAAACCUGGAGAUUUCAAGGCUUUUGAGGACUUCUCCUCAGCUGUAAAUACACUGGUGGGAAUGCUAAGUCGCAUGCAUGGUCCCGCUCAGUCUGAGCUGCAGUGCGGUUCCCACGUUGACACUCUCCUAGCUAAACUGCCUGCUAAUUACAGAGAUAGUUUUGCCGAAUACUGCAUUAAAAGAGGGAUCAUCCGCAGUGGAAGCGACCAAACAUACACACUACCUGACCUCGCUGAAUGGCUCGAUAUGAAGGUUCAGGUGCUCCAGGUGUCACGACGUGCUGCAGACGGCAACUCAGCCGAGUUCAGUCACACUACACAGAAAGAGACUAAAGCAGUUAAAUCACAGUGGAGCAAACCAGCUUCAGUCUACUUCAGCAGUGACUCGUCAACAGUCAAGCAACAACAGCCCUCUUCACAGAGACAGCAGACUUACUCCCAACCAAGAUCAAAGAAAGAUCAGUCUACAGGCAAGAAAAGAGAGCGCUUCACACCAUAUUGUCCAUAUUGCACGACCACCCAGGAUCAUUACCUCAACGGUUGUCCUGAGUUUGAGAAAAUCACUACAGCAGAGAAAGCAGCUUGGAUUAAGGACAAAGGUAAAUGCUGGCGAUGUGGGCGUGGCCACUCACCUGAAAGUUGUACUCUAAAGAAACUGUGUUCCACGUGCAACAAACAACACCUGCUGAUACUUCAUGACGUCGUGGCUCAAGACCCACAGCUAAACAUCCUCACUGUUAGCACUCCCACCAACGCAGUGUACCUGGAUCAUGCCAGCCACUCAGGACGUGUUCUUCUGAAGGUGGUACCAGUGCUGCUUCGCCACGGUAAACGAACACUGAACACGUAUGCUGUGUUAGACGACGGCUCCGAGCGCACAGUGAUUCUAGCUGCAGCAGCCAAACAUCUUGGGUUACGUGGAGAAGAGGAGUCUCUCCAGCUAAAGACCAUCAGGCAGGACGUCUUGAAGCUCCAAGGAAUGAUGGUGUCAUUUGAAGUAUCUGCCAACACACAGCCACGCGUCUAUCAACUCAUCAGCCAAGCCUUCACUGCAUCUGAGCUCCAGCUAGCAGAGCAGUCAUGUCCAGGAAACAAGUUGUCAAGGAAAUACAACCACCUGAAAGGGGUUCCUCUACACACGUUCACCAAAGUGCAGCCCAUGGUACUAAUCGGGUCCGACCACCCUCAUUUAAUAACUCCAAUUCAACCAGUACGUGCAGGUCCUCUCGGAGCACCAGUAGCUAUUUGCACUCGGCUCGGCUGGGCAAUACAGGGACCCACUAACUUUCUUCAGCAUUCACCUGGUGAGAGCUCUUUCCUUCACCUGUCGGUUGAGGCACCAUGCCCUGACAUACAUAGGGAUGUUCAGCGACUGUGGCAGCUCGACAUUUUGCCAUACAAAACCGAAAAGGAGGUGACACGAUCCAAGCAGGACAAAACAGCCCUCACCAUGCUGGACGAGAGAAGCAUCAGUGUAACAGUGGAAGGCGUCUCAAGGUACGCAACGCCUCUCCUUCGAAAGAAGAAGAUAGCUCUACCACGUGCAUCACCUUCUGCUGUGAUGCCUCUCCUGCGUGCUACAGAGCGGCGCCUAGCUACUAACCCUGAACUUGCAAAGAUCUACAAUCAAGAAAUACACAAGCUGGUAGAAGCUGGGUAUGUAGCGCAGAUCACCAGUGAGGAAGCCACCAGAUCUGUGGAAUCCUGGUAUAUCCCACAUCACUUAGUAUACCACAACCAAAAGGCAAGAGUGGUAUUCAACUGCUCCUUUCGCUACCAAGAUGUUGCCCUGAAUGACGACCUGCUACCAGGACCCUCUCUCGGACCUUCUCUGUUGGGAGUUCUACUUCGGUUUCGAGAACAUACGGUUGCAAUCAGUGGAGACAUAAGAGCUAUGUUUCACCAGGUCAGACUGCUCCCAGAGGAUCGUCCACUCGUCCGCUUCAUCUGGCGUGAUAUGGACAGAGACAGACCACCUGACAUCUACGAGUGGCACGUUCUGCCAUUUGGCACAGUGUGCAGUCCUUGCUGUGCAAUAUACGCUCUACAGCGCCACGUUCGAGAGCACCAGAAUGAAGAUGAUGACAUGCUGGAGACGGUAACCACUUCAUUCUAUGUGGAUAACUGUCUGAAAUCUCUCCGAUCGCCACGACAAGCUAAAGAUCUCCUGGACCGCCUGCGUGCAUUCCUGGCCAAGGGUGGAUUCGAGCUCAGACAGUGGGCAUCCAACAAGACUGAGGUAAUAUCUCACCUUCCAACCACUGCACGAUCAGCAAUAUCUGAACUGUGGCUAACUGCUGAAGGAGCUGAGCCCAAAGAGUCCACACUUGGACUGAUAUGGCACUGUGUGACGGACACACUAGGUUACAAAUGUCAGCUUGCUGCACCCAAACCGCCUACUUUGCGGAAUGUUUACAGAGUGCUUGCCUCACAAUAUGACCCUCUUGGCUACAUCACCCCCUUCACCACCAGAGCCAAAGUCCUGGUCCAGGCUCUUUGGGCUACAGAACGACAGUGGGAUGAGCCAAUCGCCAAUGAGCUACUUCCAGUAUGGCAGGCAUGGGAAGACGAGCUCCCUCAGCUGCAAAACAUCGUCUUCCCAAGGUGUUACGUCCCAGAAUCUGCUGACAACGACUCAGCAGUGAAGCAGAUUCACAUCUUCUGCGACGCCUCCGAGAAGGCCUACGGCUCAGUGGCCUACUUGCGAUCUGAGGAUGCAGAGGGACGUAUCACUGUGUCAUUUAUUAUGGCCAGGUCACGUGUCGCACCCAAACGACAACAGACGAUGCCCCGACUGGAAUUAUGUGCUGCAGUCACAGGGGCUCAACUGGCCAAUGUUCUUCAGACGGAGUUAACUUCGCCCAUUCAAUCUGUGGUGAUGUGGUCUGAUUCAACAACUGUACUGAGCUGGAUACAGUCAGAGUCCAAUCAGUACAAGGUAUUUGUUGGUACAAGAGUGACUGAAAUACUCGACUUUACCACCCCAGAAUCAUGGAGGUAUGUUAACACAGACCUGAACCCCGCUGACGAUAUCACACGCGGCAAGACCCUCCUCGAGCUAUCCCAGCCUAACCGUUGGAGUCAAGGGCCUACGUUCCUGUACCAGUCCUCAGAUCACUGGCCAGUGAACCACUCAGUGAGUAAUGAAGGUCAUGACGAGUUAAAAUCUCAAGCUUUCUGUGGUCACAUUUCUAUCACCAGCACAGAGGCACCUGAUCCUGUUCAAUAUAAUACAUGGGAUGAACUGCUACAAGCAACCCAUUGGUCCUUACAUAGGGCGGCGGGUCCUUCCAUGUCAGCUGCCGAUCGUACUGAAAUGGAGACAACGCAGCUGAGAAGGAUACAAGCUGACAGCUUCCCCGAGGAACUGAAGGCACUCAAGCAGGGGAAACCUGUACAUUCUAACAGCCGUUUAAGUGCUCUUAGCCCUGAAUACGAUCAAGUGUUGGGCCUCAUUCGAGUUGGUGGUAGACUACGCAGAUUGGAGGACAUUCCAGAAGACAGUCUUCAUCCUGUUGUCCUUAGCCCAGAUCACCCGAUCACACAGCUCUUGGUGAAGGACUACGACCAGCGUCUACACCAUGCUGGCUCAGAGAGGGUUUUCGCUGAGAUCCGGAGAAAUUUCUGGAUAUUACGUGGGCGACAGGUAAUCAGGAAACAUCAGAAACAUUGUGCUGAGUGUCGUAAAUGGCGUAGCACCCCUGUUGCACCGAUGAUGGCAGACCUGCCGGCUGCUCGGCUCCGGAUCAACAAACCCCCGUUCUGGUCCACCGGAGUUGACUGUUUUGGUCCCUAUACAGUGAAAGUCGGAAGAAGACAUGAGAAACGGUGGGGCAUCAUAUUCAAGUGUCUUACUUCCAGAUGUGUUCACCUUCAUCUGCUGCCACACUUGGACACAGACUCAUUCUUGAUGGCUUUGCGGCGUUUCAUUUCACGACGUGGCAAGCCAUAUGAGAUUCUAUGUGACAGAGGGACAAACUUCCGAGGUGGGGAGCGUGAGCUCAAGGAAUCUUUGGAAGAUCUCGAGCCAUCACUGAGACAACAGCUGGUAAGCCAAAGUAUCACUUUCAAGUUCAAUCCUCCCCUCGCUCCUCAUUUUGGUGGUGCGUGGGAGAGGGAAGUAAGAUCAGUCAAAGCCUCCCUUCAAGUUGUACUGCGGGAGCAAGUUGUAUCUGAGGAGGUGUUGUCAACCGUCCUGGUUGAAGUGGAGGGUAUACUCAACUCGAAACCACUCGGCUACUCCUCUUCUGACUUGGCUGACCCUGAUCCUGUAACACCUAACUUGCUGUUGAUGGGGCGGCACGACGCAUCGUUUCCUCAAGCAGCAUACGGCUCCAGUGAACUUCUGGGGCGCCGACGUUGGAAGCACAGCCAGGUCUUGGCGGACCAGUUCUGGAGCCAAUUCACCCGCAAGUACCUUCCUGACCUUCAGCGACGCCAGAAGUGGAAAAAACCAACCGUGGCUCUUGCUACGGAUCAAGUGGCCAUGGUAGUGGAUUCUCAGCUUCCUAGAGCACUCUGGCCUAUCGGGAAGGUCGUCAAAGUUCACCCCAGUCAAGACGGGACAGUUCGUACAGCAGACAUUGACAUUAAGGGAACAGUCUACACUCGUCCAGUUACCAAGUUGGUACUGCUUCCAGAGAUGCCUAAUGACCGGGACAUUGGAGUCCCCUAAUCACAGCAAGUACUUGUACCUUUUUACACAUUCAGGAAUGAAUGUGGGGGCGGCUGUUGUGAAUUCCCUGCUGUGAGGGCUGGACAACGAGCUGCCUCGCUUUGGGACAAUUGUGUUGCUGCGCAUGCGCAUAGUAUUCUCAAAAGGACCGCGGUUGAGGGAAGAAAGUUCGUCCUCGGCCGAGUAUUAAUGUGCCUGCAUUCGCAUAAAUAACCGUGUGCGUCGGUGAUAAAUACACAAACCACACACUCACAUUAAUGUCCAGAUGCAAUCAAAGGCACAAUGGAUGCAAACAACUGUAAAUAAAGUUCAUCAAACCAAUAGAAGUUGCUGCAUCUUCUCUUACCGGAGGAUUAGGUCAAUUAUAUACAGCCGGCACAUUUGUCACCGAACUCCAAUUCCUUACAAUUAUGGUGGACUAUUUUGGUAGCAAUUUGUUCCUUUUUGUUUUUUUGUAGACACUGACACCUUUUUAAAACGAUAUCUCGAUUCUUGCAGGAGCAUAUCGAUAACCUUUAGGGAUACAAAGUUUCACGAUAUAUCACCAUUUCGAUAUUUUGUCACACUCAUACUACUGUAUCAAUGAAGUGAUGUAAUUUCACCUAUUAGUGUUGGAAAAAAAUGAGACAAAGACACAUCAGUUGAAAAUAAACUGUAUUGAUUAGUAACCGGUACACGUUUGAGCCCUCUUUUCUGCUAGGAAAUCCUUGUCAGUGCAGUACCUGUUAAAGGUUUAAGACACCAUCAAAAUCAACAAAAGUAGACAAGUCAGAUAUAGACAGGAUUGUUACAAAGUAUUCCCAAAAGGCACAAGAGUCAAAGAGUAGCUAUGACUUCCCUCUUAAGAAAAUUUGCAAAAUGUGAAUAAAUACAUCCGCUGGCACGUCCAACUGUGAACACAGUCAUCAAACAAUCAGCAGAGGACGAUAUCAUAUAAAUAUCUCUCCAUAAAAUAUAUACUUGAAAUUAAGAUGCCUUAUUUAGUACCAUUAACUCAAAAAUAUCAGAUUUCAACCAUAUUUAAAAAAUUGCCAAACCAACCACUCAACCCCUUAGUAAGAACAACAAAUUUGGUGAAAUGUGCAAUUAUUAGCAUUUUCAUAGGGCAGACGCUUUCACUCACACCAUACACUCUUUAGUUGCAAGUUAUUGCGAAGGAAUGUUACAUUAGCAUAAAAUGCGUCAUAUUAGGUACUGUGUUGAGUCCCCCGCUAUUGUGACACUGAGCAGUUUUAAGACCCCAUUAGUUCUUGUGGACAAACUGUAAAAAAAAAAAAAAACAAAAAAAAAAAAAACAUUUGUUUUCAAUCUCUGGUUCUAUCUGUAAGUUUAUCUCAAAUCUACCCUGAAUCGCACAGGACAGCAAAACACAAAAAAUUGAAUUUGCAAGAAAAUAGCACGAAGUUUAUGGUAGGAAAUAUACAUUCACGCACAUGCCUCAAACUUUGUUUGCACCACUAGGCAUAGAAUGGCGGUUAGUAGUGUUACAUUGUGCUGCUCUAAAUUAUGGGAAGAAAAACUCCCAAGUAAAUGAUGGCCAACACAUUUCCUAUAAGUUGCACAUAUGUUUGAAAUCGGUGUUUGGGAAUAAAUACAUCAUUGUUGCUGUGAUAAAAUCUGGAUAAGACUUCUGGUUGCAAAUCUUAUGCAAGCUGUUAUCUUUAGCUAAUUUGAAGAGUGAAGAGGGGAAAGUAAAAUACAUCUUUUAAUAUGAAAAAAAUAUUCACAGUAUGCGGGCACAUCACAGUAGUACGUCACUGGCCAAUGAGGAGGAUGUACUUAUUCGGCAAUCUGUAUUUAACUUGGAUGGAUUAUUGGAGUUAUAUUCCUGUCGAUGCUCUUCUAUAAAUUGCCUCAGAUUUUGGUUUAGCAUCAAUGGUGCAAGUUUUAGCUUAUAAAGAAUUUCAACAUAAAAAGUCAGAAGUUACUUUGCUAUACUCAUCUGUAUGGUUAAGAGUGGUAACAGUAAUCGAAAGGAAACCUCACACAGUUUUAUAGGGAAUCGCUAGCAAGCGUCUCUGUGGAGAGCCAGAUCCUUGCCCCGUUGAGAAAUUUACUGAUGGGGGUUCCGUGAAUACUUCGGCGACACAGGUUACCAACGGGAGUGAAAGGAAAAGAGGAGGUAAGGAAUUGUGGAGGGGAAUCGUUUGGGGACGCAGCCUCAAAAUACAUCCGCCUUUGGUCAGCAGGGGCCUCUUUUGGACUACGGGGCGGUGCGCCGGCUGGGGUGGGUGCCUUGUAUUGCUUGAGAUGGUUCUGUAGCAUCUCAAUUUCGUCCACCAGUUGUGAGAGCUUGUGGUAGGCGGUAAUGGACCCCCCUUUGGAAAUGCAAGCUUCUGGCACCCAGCGAAGGAAGUAGAGCUUCCAGAGAGGCAAGUGAGAUGGUGUGAGGAGUGGGAUCAAGAGGCCCUGCUGAUCAGCGGGGCGGGAGAACCACUCCCUGAAGAAGCGCUCCGACGGACUCUCCACCACAUAUUUUAGUGGUGAGAAGUCGUUUUUUAACUCCGAUCCCAGAGAACCUCGACGGGUGAGUGCAUCCUCCCCGCCUUUUAGUCCAUUACGCAGAGAUGCAGAGGCCCCUCGGAAGCCGGAACCAUAUUUCUGUGAAAAAAUGUCAUUGAAGAUGUUAUCAUUAGGCCUGUCUCAAUAAUUACUAUAUUGAAAACAAGUUUCUUGCACCAUUUUAAGUCAAAUUUAAUGCUUUUAGGACAUUUUUAAAACCUUAAAAAUAUCAUUUAAGACCAAAUAAUGUUUAACAAUUACUGAUGAAGAAAAAAACCAACAUUUCAUUGUAAACAUAGACCUGCUGCCACAGACCAGUGGUAUUUUUCUCCUCUCAUGUGUGACUCGACAGCUUUGACCCCCAUUGCCCCUAACGAAAGUCUUUCUGUAAGACUGCACCGGGACUUUGCAAAGACUUUGAUUAUCCGGAUUUUGAAGAAAUUUUAAGACUUUUUAAGGACCCGCGGGAACCCUGGAUUUAUCGUCCAUUAUAUAAAGUUUUUACUACUACAUACUACAUGCUGCUUCGAGGAUUCGUUUAAUUAGAGUGAUGUUGUAAUUGGCUGUUUUGAAAGUGUUGGAUUUAGUUUUAUUGAUUUGGAUGGAUGCACUGCCAUCUAGUGGCAACAAUGAAUAUUAGAUAACUUAUUUAACACGGCUAAAUCAAGCUGCUCCCUGUCAAAACCAACAUACGGUAUGCUUUUGAUUGAGCUAAUAUUUUUAUGCUUUCGUUAUUUAGUUUAGAAUUAGCAGGUAUUUGUGGGAAUAUGUGUGUGAACGAUUUGUGAAGAGAAUAGUAUUAAAAUAAAAAAUAAAGUUAGCAUUUUAUAGCUUUUAAGCUAGCGGACUUUUGCUAUGCAAGUUAGACAAUUUUUCUUUUUUUGUACUUAGAUCCUCAUUUAUUAAUUUUCUAUAUCGUUUGAGGCUAAACUGAGAUAUUUGAAUUUUAAAAAAAUACAUUUGUUGCACUUCUGAAAUGAAAGUGCACUUUUGCAGUUUGAAGAAAAACUGAGUUUUAUUUUGUAUUUACAUUUAAUGCUCUUUUGAAAGUGUAAUCUUAGCAACCCAAAAUAAAUGAUUGCAAGCAUAAUCACUUAUUUGUUUUACAUAUCCAAAAAUUUAUUCUCUAACGCAUCAAAUGUUCUUAAUCCGAUUACUCGAUUAUUCGAAUUGAUCGAUUAAUCAAUUACUUAAACAAUCAAGAGCUGAUAGUUUUUACUACGUGGACUAUCGUCUGAUAAAAUAAAACAAUUAUAAAAUAAUAGUUUUUAGUAUUUAGUUGGUAUGCUCCUCACCUCUGGAACAAGUUACCCUCCUUAGGUCUGAAGUGUGCUCAAACUGUUAGCUCCUUUAAAUCAGGGCUAAAAUCGAUUUUGUUUAACCCUUUAACACCGAACGUGUCGGCAGCGACGCGUUUACGCAUAUCGUCUUUGAAGCUUCGUCACGCUGUAUUUACGUCACCCACGUGCCGCUGGUUGGUCUCGUUUGAAAGUGUGGAAGUUGAUGUCCACACCAGUUUUUAUUUGAAGUCAAUCGGCCAAGAAAAACGGGAGAUAAUGUCAUUUGAGUUUUAUAGUUUUAUUGCACUCAUAAAUAUGCAUUAAAACGCUGCAUGGACCAUGUAUCCAUCUCCAUAUUUCCAUCAUUUCUUUUCCUUUUUCAAAACCGAAAGCAGCACAAAAGACUACAUAUCCCAAGAGCCGUUGUGAUGUCAAGAAAGACUAACCAAAUCUGAUCAUUUUUAAAUAAAUUUCCGAGCGAGGCGCCAACUAUUGAAAGGGAGGCAUGCGAAGCAAGCAACGGCCGGAUGGUUUGAGCGAGGGACUGAAACGUGCAGAAUGAAUCUAAAACUACAUUUAGAGCAAGCUAAUGCAUUAUUUCAUUAACUCAAGGAAGAAGAUGAGCCGUAUUUGUCGUUUUCUUGGGAAGAGUCGGCGUCUCGGCGAGCAGAAGUGACAGCAGCGCGCAAAUGGCGAAAGAGUAGGCUCUAUGACGCUCCGUGACCUGUUCAAGAAGAAGCUUUACUGAGAGCGCAAAAAAAAAAAAAAAAACUUUACUGGGUCGCAUCCCUGAAAAAUUUUAAUUGAACUGAACUACUUGUCAAUAUUUUUUAAAAUACUUUUUUUUCAAUGUUAUAUAUAUUUUUUCUUCACUAUAUCCUUUUCAAUUUUUAUGUAGAUGUGUGUUCGAGAAGCUUGAUUGCAUGCACGUAUAUACAUUUGAUAAGGUGAUGGGUACAACACCUAAAUUCACAAAGAGAUAUCCUCCAAACCCUUUUUGUGUUAGAGAAUAUAUAGAUAAUUUUUCUCACUAUUUUGCACAGUAUAUAACCUGUUUUGACCAUAGUAUGUGUAAAGGCCAAAAACACCUAUGACCAUACCUGCUGUUUGUGUUGAAUUGUCAAACAAAACUAUUCAAUCUUAUUUUUUUCUAUUGAAUGUUUAUCCUAACAAGUUGAAUAAAUCUUAUCAAGCUUCAAAACGGUUGGUCGAGCAUGUUUGGUUGUCAAUGGGACAUCAACAUUACAAAUUUUGAAAAAAUAUUUUGGGAUUUUUUUGUCUUUUUGGGUCCAAAAUGUGGAUUAUAAUUGGUCAGUGAAGAAAACAACAGUUGAGACAUGAAGUUCAAGGUGUCCUGAAAAAAGGGACCCAACUCUGCCAUUGUGAACAUUUUUUUCUUUGAAAUAUAAAGGCAACAUCAAAUGCAUGCAAAUUCGGCCAAAAUAGGCUUAGGUGUUAAAAGGUUAAGCUAUUUGCUUUUUAUUCAUUUUCUGCUUUAUUUCUAUUUCCGAUUUCAAAUAUUGUUAUUUAUUUUUAUUUCAACUUUUGAUUUAAUGCGAUUAGGUAGAGAUAAAUGUAUUCCCUGUUUCAAUACUCUUUGUCUUAACUUUCUUUUAAUGUAGUGCUGCAACAAUUAAUCGAUUAAGUCGAGUAAUUCAAUUAGGAAAAAGAUUCGAAUUAAAUUUUGCUGCUUCGAGCAUUCAUUCAAUUAAAGUGGUGCUGUAAUGGUUUGUUUCAAAGUGUUUGCAUUGAGUUUUAUUGAGUUGGGUGGAUACACUGCCUGCUAAUGGCAACAGUGAAUAUGACGUAACUCAUUUUACAUGGCUGAGUCCAGCUGUUCCCUGUUAAGACCAACAUAAGCUAAGUUUUUGUUUGAGCUAAUGUUUUUUAAUGCAUUCGUAAGUUAUUUUAUAGAUAUAUUUAGCAGUUAUUUGUGGAGAUAUGUGUUUGAAC